rnacentral:rRNA from 1 species
AAGCGGAGGAGCAUGUGGUUUAAUUCGAUGAUACGCGAGGAACCUUACCUGGCUUGAAGUAGUGACAUUCUGUGAAAGCAGAACUUCCGCAAGGACACGAAACUAGGUGCUGCAUGGCUGUCGUCAGCUCGUGCCGUGAGGUGUUGGGUUAAGUCCCGUAACGAGCGCAACCCCUAUCAUUAGUUGCCAUCAGGUCAUGCUGGGGACUCUAAUGAGACUGCCCGCGCAAGCGGUGAGGAAGGUGGGGACGACGUCAAGUCAUCACGGCCCUUACGUCCAGGGCUACACACGUGCUACAAUGGUAGAUACAGCAGGUUGCCACAUGGUAACAUGGAGCUAAUCCCAAAAGUCUAUCUCAGUUCGGAUUGAGGUCUGCAACUCGACCUCAUGAAGCUGGAUUCGCUAGUAAUCGAAAAUCAGCAAUGUUUCGGUGAAUACGUUCCCGGGCCUU